GCUUCAGUGGUGUAGUGGUAGUAACACAUGUCCCCGGUAUGGAUGAAACACGGGUUCGAUUCCCGCCUGAGACC